rnacentral:other from 1 species
UUCUGUAUUUGCUAUAUUCAAUUCUAUAUGUUAUGAUGAAUUUAGUUAUUUUUGUUCGGUGUAAAAUUUGCAAGAAGCAUUUUAUCUUGAGAUAGUAUGUUUGAACAAGGGUAGUAAUAUAUUUGUGGGCAACCCACAACAGGAGGCAAUAUCAUGGAACAAGGUACAGUAAAAUGGUUUAACGCAGACAAAGGUUUCGGUUUCAUCGAAGUUGAAGGCGGAGAAGAUGUAUUCGUACAUUUCAGCGCUAUCCAAGGCGAAGGCUUCAAAUCUUUAGACGAAGGUCAAAAAGUUACUUUCGAUAUCGAACAAGGUCAACGCGGAGCACAAGCUGCUAACGUUAACAAAAUCUAAUUUAGUUAAAAAGACUCCUUCGGGAGUCUUUUUUUC